CCUACGGGAGACAGCAGUCGAGAAUCAUUCACAAUGGGGGAAACCCUGAUGGUGCGACGCCGCGUGGGGGAAUGAAGGUCUUCGGAUUGUAAACCCCUGUCAUGUGGGAGCAAAUUAAAAAGAUAGUACCACAAGAGGAAGAGACGGCUAACUCUGUGCCUGCAGCCGCUGUAAUACAGAGGUCUCAAGCGUUGUUCGGAAUCACUGGGCGUAAGGCGUGCGUAGGCUGUUUCGUAAGUCGUGUGUGAAAGGCGCGGGCUCAACCCGCGGACGGCACAAGAAACUGCGAGACUAGAGUAAUGGAGGGGGGACCGGAAUUCUCGGUGUAGCAGUGGAAUGCGUAGAUAUCGGGAGGAACACUCGUGGCGAAGGCGGGUUCCUGGACAUUAACUGACGCUGAGGCACGAAGGCCAGGGGAGCGAAAGGGAUUAGAUACCCGAGUAGUC
rnacentral:rRNA from 1 species